UCUUAAAUUCUCCAAAAUUCUAUCUUCCAUCUUCAGGCUCUGGCGCUUAAAUUGUUAGUGGUUUACACAAUUAAUCUGUUUCUAGAUCAAAAAUCUGAUGUAAUCCAAA